UAUAUGUGUGGUACUUCUCUUCGGCCGAUUUCCUCUUUCCCUAUUCGAUGUGUAAGCUAAGUUGAGCAGUAGCACCUUUAUCCCUGUUCUUCGUCUCCCUAUCACCCUCCCGGCGACAAAGCAUCAACCACCAUCCCUCACCUUCCUCUCCUUCUCAGCCCCGCUUCUAGCAAGGACAACCGAAGCAGCUCCGGUGGACGGCAAAGGCAGCUGGUGCUGCCUUGCUCUCGGCGACGGUGUAGCAUCAGGCAGAGGUGGACGAUCAGGUGGACGAUCAGGUGGACGGCGUCGGAGCUGUACAGUAGCGAGCUGGAGGCCAACAUCGUCCCUUGUUAUCUCCGGCGUGUUCCCCCUGCUUCCGGCAAUGCAAGCAGUAAGCGGUGAAGAAUCAGAACAGUGGCGGUGGUCGGAAGCUAGCCGCGGUGGCAGUGCGUGGCGACGGCGGUAUCGACGAAUCCUGACGGUGGCGUUUUCUCCCUGGUUCCGGCGAAGGAAGCUUCUCCGGUGAAGCAGAUCAGACCGGCGGGCGGUGACGCGGGUGGUGGAGGUCGUCAUGCUCCACCCGCUGCUUGCAGUUCGUGAAGAUGAAGAUGGUUCCCGUUAGCUUGGUUUUUAUGUUGAGCCUAGCCUAUGUUGGCGUUGGUUUUGGUUGGAUAAGCGAAUGAGGUUCCGAGUAGUGGCGAGCGCGAUCUAGUAAUGGAUAGUAUAGAUCCCUCAGACUAUGUAGUUUGUUUUGGGCCUGUGUGCCUUCUAUGUUGGAUUUUAGACUUGUGUAUGGUUGACCUUGUCCCGUUAGACUGAUGGAUUGGAUGUUGUUUUCACAUGUGCGUUCACCAUAGCGUGGACGUGGCAUAACACUCUUAGUUUUCCAGCUUUUAUAUAGUUAAGUCUUCCGCUGUG